rnacentral:rRNA from 1 species
UUAUGGUGGGGACGUCGUAAGAGACUGCCGGGGUCGAACUCGGAGGAAGGUGGGGACGGACGUCAAGUCAUCAUGCCCCUUAUGUCCAGGGCGUUCACACAUGCUACAAUAGGCCAGUACAGAGGGCUGCGAGACCGUGAGGUGGAGCGAAUCCCUUAAAGCUGGUCUCAGUUCGGAUCGGGGUCUGCAACUCGACCCCGUGAAGUCGGAGUCGCUAGUAAUCGCAGAUCAGCAACGCUGCGGUGAAUACGUUCCCGGGCCUU